rnacentral:lncRNA from 1 species
GUGAUAGCGUGCCAAGCACUGCAUUAGGGACUAGGGGUGGGGAUGAUGAAGGCAGGGGCUGCUCCUGUAGCUGAGAUCUGGGGUUGACCUUCGGAGUCAGUGUGAGGAGGUCAGAGUGCAGUGUGAGUGGAAGAAAGACCUUCAUUCUGGAGGAUGCUCUGCUUGGCCUGGAUGCUGCCCAUCAGAAGCCCCAGCAAGACUGUUUUCAGCAGGAAUUCCCCAGGUUUGAUGACAUCAUUCUGCUCGCUGUCCCAGUACUGAGUGUCCUCCAAGCCUCACUUUUCCCCCUGCGGUCCGGCAGAGAAUGGUGGCGUCACCCUAGAGCGAGGAUUUGCAGGAUUCCUCUGCUUGCUCUUCACAGUCCCUGAAGGAUUUUGUUAGUUCUCCAUUACUUUUGUUACCUGAGACCCAUCUUUUCAUCCUGUUCCUCCUCUUCCUUGACGACCUGGGAUGUUUCCACACUGAGACAAAGAGGAAGAGACACAUCUAAGCAAUUCUCUACAGAUAGUCUCACUCAUCUCUGUCCUGAGUUCUCCUUGUGACAAGUCCAAAAGCUUGGCCACAGUCCUGAGGCAAAAAGUUUCAUGGAAACUGGUCUCUUGGAGUCUUUGGCAUCCCAUAACAUGGAUGUGGUCCAGAUAUGUCCUUGCAAUAGUCGUGAAGGGUUUAGUGUGCUUUCUUUCAAUAUUGUUUUUAUUAUAAGUGCCUCCAAGGAAUGAUUUGACAAAUAGCUAAGUUAGAUUGAACAUUGCUUCCUGGCCUCUACCAGUGUUCCAAUAUCCUAGGAAAUUGUUGAGCUGACCUUGGGCUUUGAAUUUCGUAAGAAUGUUACUUAUUCAGACAAAAUGCCUCCAGUGUUGAAAGAGAGAUAGUGAAAGAAAUCAGGCAUUGCAGUUUACUGGUUAAGAGUAGAAAUCUCAGAACAAGUUCUACAAAAUAAACUUGGAAUUCUCACUACAGUCAGGUAUGGCAGACUACAUUACAUAUUAAAAGAAAGUUGGUGGGCUCCUCUGUUAAAUGGAGGUUCCCUAUGGAUACUUAGAAUAACAACCAAGUCACACCCAUAUGCAGGAAUUUACAAUGGUCUAGGAAAAAGGAGGGUUGUGGUUUAAGAAGGAACUAGAGUAAAUACUUAGAAUAACAGCCAAGUCACUUCCAUAUACAGAAAUUUACAAUGGCCUAGGGAGAAGGUGGAUUAUACGAUAGACUAGAAUUGGAACUAUAGCUAGGGCGUGAAACCCUUGCCCCUGGCUUCUAAGAAUAAGCUGACCUUAGGUAGGUAUGAUUUUUAUCUCAGUUGUAAACACUGCCUGGUUCUUGCUAGCUUUUAUGUAUACAUUCCUCUGUUUUGUGUCAUUAUGCAUCAGAUGACUUCAAUGUAUCUUGGCUGAUGUGUCACCUGACUUCCUUGUUUUCUUCUGUAAUAUAAGUCUAAUGCUUGCUUUGAGACAUUACAUUCAGAUUCAACACUC